GCAAAGCGAAAUAAAGAUUGUGAGUUUAGGAGAUGAUUUAGGCAUUUCUUUGAUAGCCAUUGUCCAUACCUUCUUUUGACUUACCUUUGAACAUUAUCUUAGCCCCGUUGAGCCUUUAGCUUGUUCUUUUGUUAUCCUCAUAUGUAGCCUUAUCCGUUCUUUAAUAGACCGUAAUUUGAUCCAAAAGCUCCUAAGCACUUUAAUGUAAAAUCAUUUUGAGUUAGGAGUUUGACA
rnacentral:lncRNA from 1 species